AUGUGAGUUCUAACCCCAGUGCUGCCUGUGACUUGCUCUGUGACCUGGGACAAGUCCAUUGUGGAUACAACAGGAUAUGAGGGCUACAAGGAUCUCUGAGGCUUCACCCAGAAUUUUCAGCUCUUUUGACAAUUUCCAAGAAAAGGGAUGAGUUCCAGCCACCAUGUCAUGAGGAGACCCUGGAUACCCCAGCUCAGAGCCUAGAUUUCCAUUUUCUAGACUAUGCUUUGGGUCUUCAACUUCCACGCCAACACCAGAGGAUAAGUAUUUGAGAC